UACGGGGGGGGCAGGCGUUGUUCGGAAUUACUGGGCGUAAAGGGCUCGUAGGCGGCCAACUAAGUCGGAUGUGAAAUCCCCAGGCUUAACCUGGGAACUGCAUCCGAUACUGGAUGGCUUGAAUCCGGGAGAGGGAUGCAGAAUUCCAGGUGUAGCGGUGAAAUGCGUAGAUAUCUGGAGGAAUACCGGUGGCGAAGGCGGCAUCCUGGACCGGCAUUGACGCUGAUGAGCGAAAGCUAGGGGAGCAAACGGG
rnacentral:rRNA from 1 species